GUGUCAGCAGCCGCGGUAAUACGGAGGGUGCAAGCGUUGUCCGGAUUUAUUGGGUUUAAAGGGUGCGUAGGCGGCUUAUUAAGUCAGGGGUGAAAGACUAUUGCUUAACAAUGGCAGUGCCUUUGAUACUGAUAGGCUUGAGUACAGCUGAGGCAGAUGGAACGGGUGGUGUAGCGGUGAAAUGCAUAGAUACCAUCCAGAACACCGAUUGCGAAGGCAGUCUGCUAAACUGUAACUGACGCUGAGGCACGAAAGCGUGGGGAUCGAACAGGAUUAGAUACCCUGGUAGUCC
rnacentral:rRNA from 1 species